rnacentral:lncRNA from 1 species
AAAGAUCACCCACACGACUUUGCUUCUUCUUCUCCAAAAGCACCCGAAUCGAGCCCUAAUAAUGUCCAAAUUCGAGUGAUUGAACCUCAAAUCUCUCCUCAUGCAUUCUCCUUUCUCUCCUCUUACCACAGAUAACCAUUUCUGACACUGAAGAUUCUCAUUCCCUUCACUCGCUCAAUUUGGAGAUAAGGCACGCGAUUGGAAGCUUCUGGAAUGAUUUGCUGGAUGAGUGUGAGGCGUUGGAUUGAUUUCACUCAAUCCAAGCCCCACAUUCAUCAGGAAUUCGUUCUCAAAAGGGAUUUUGGAUGGAUUUCAGAGAGGUCAAUGUUCAGAGGGAUUUUUGGAGAGAGGAUUGUUCAAAGAGGUUAGAAAUUCAUUUUCUAAAGGAGAUCGAUCUGAUUUUGGAAGCGAACUCGGGGGAAAAAUUGGAAGAAAGAGUUGGAAAAGGUUCUAAAAGUUCUCCUUCUUCUCUACUGUUCAGUUUAGCUUAAUUUCAGUUACUAUAAAAAAAAGAUAUUUGAUUUUCGUUUUGGGGUUAAUUGGAGUCUCUUUGUUCCCUAUAAUUGGAAAUUGGACAAUUUUCACCCUUCACAUGGUGAAUAUGGUUUGAACCUGAAGUGUGAGUUUGUUGUUCUGAAUUUUAUUUUGAGUUAAUGGAAGUUGACUAAGUGCUGAUGGUCUUGAGUUGCUCUAAAACUGUUCGCUUAGCUGCUGAAUCUCGAGUUCAUUGCGAUCUCUGUUUGGACUCGCUUCCUCUGAUAAUCGUUGUAACCCUUCAAUUGCAUUAAUCAAAGUUUAUUUGCAGGUGCAUUUCCAAACUCUCUCGUUUUGCUAUAUCAUGUGAGCUGAAAUGUUUGUUUGUUUGAAUCGAUUUAAAACUGAGAAGUAAUACAUCACUGAACAAAUUUAGGAUGUUGGGAUGAGCCUUGAGCUAGUAUUCUGAUUUUUUCUAUCCAUUUCUUAAUGGUUAGAGUCUGAGAUUGUCCUAACUUAUCCGUCACUAAAAAUUCAUUUGUGGUUCUUUGAUGUUGGUUUGGAAAUUGGCUCAUGUUCAUGUUUGAAUCCCUGUGGGUUAGGUUCAUGUAUCGAUUCCCAAACUCCUGUUAAUGGUUAGUAUCUGUUGUUAAAGUUCUUUGGAAAUUCGAUGUUGUAGUUGAAUGGAAAUGUGUUCUUGUUGCUGGAUUGAUCUAGGUGAAGCUAAGUCACAAUUUGUCUGAUUGCUCAAAUCUAUUGGUAUUUCGAUCUUCUCUGUCAUGAUCUUUCACUGAUUAAUACUAGUUUUUGUUAUUAUUUCUCAAACAGCCAUGUAUCUCUUUCCAGUUGUGCAAUCGAGUUUAAGUGUCAAAACAUUUCUGGAAUUGUUUUUUUAGCAUUCAUUGACUGUAUAUGUUCGUAUUGGCUCUAUUUUCCUUCUCUCAUUCGAGACUUGCCUGCCCUGUUGCCAUCAUGAGAGUUCUGUUCUUCCGAGCUAUUGAAGAAUCCAAUUAGAGUAGUAAAUUUGAAUCGAUAGCAGGCAGUACUUAGGUCAUUUGUCUGGACUGUUGGGCCCUGCUGUAGGUCUGUUUUGUUUUAUAGCUGUUUAGGCUGUCUGUUUGUACAAUUUCAAGUGCAAAAUUCUGCACUGAUUGGCUCGCAGCAGCCUUGAUUACUAGUAGUUCAUGUUCUUAUAUGUGUUCUGUUUGGUUCU